GUCCUGUGGCUGAGGACAUGUUUCAUUGGCAAGCGACGAUUAUGGGACCCCCUGAUAGCCCAUAUGCAGGAGGUGUAUUCCUUGUGACCAUUCAUUUCCCUCCUGAUUAUCCUUUUAAACCGCCUAAGGUGACUUGUCGAAUCUGCAAGCUUUGAUUUUUUGUGUGUGUCUGUGUGUUUAUGCUUUUCUUUGGAAUGAAGGAUGACAGUUUUUCGAUUUUCAGGUUGCAUUUAGGACUAAGGUCUUCCACCCGAAUAUCAAUAGCAAUGGAAGCAUUUGUCUUGAUAUCCUUAAAGAACAGUGGAGUCCAGCCCUUACUAUCUCUAAGGUUCGGCUUUGUUAUCUUUUCAAUCUCCCAAUGAAUUGGUCCUGACUAUCGAUAAUGUUUGCGUUCGUAUAUACUUUAGAAAUGAUAUGUAUAUGCUGCCUUGAUGCAUCAAAAUAUUAUUUGGAGAAUAGAGAGAGGGAUAUGUUUAAAUUAUUACGGAGGUCUUCCCAGAGAAGUUCUUUGUGGAACAACACAACUCAGAAGACUAUGUGUUCCAACUUGAAGUAGGGAAUUCCUAUGUAAUGAUGGAGAUGCUUGCUUGUACUUUGAAAAAUCAUGUUUUUGGAUUCUAACUUCUUUGGCAUAUAUUCAGAGUAGAAGCAGGUAGCUGUGAUGUGCAGCCUUUCUGCAAUUUGUUGUGCCAAAGUUUUGUUUUGAAGCUAGGAAAGAGUUUUAGCAAAUAUAUACUUAUUCAAUUUCCAUCUGCCUUUAUGUUUUGAGUCAUUCUUCCUAAAAAGACUUUAUAUGUAGUUAAAAAAAUAUUUGCAUAAGAUCUAAUUCAUGGCAUUUCCAGUUCUUACUCUGGAUAUUAGCCACUACAUUUGUGAUAUGACUUGAUAUGUUAUAAAGGAAAUUUGAUGUUGAUUUAGAAACUGAUUCCCCUAAGCUUUUGAGUUUUGGAAUCUAUUUCAACUUUAAAGGGGGGAUAUUUGGUGGCUAAGGAAAUGAAGAUUGUUUUUAUUUUUAUUUUUUAUUUUUAGUAUACUGAAAUUUAUCUUACUGUUGGAUCUGUAUUCACUAAGCUGUUUGUGCAUUUGAAAUCAGGUAUUGCUCUCAAUCUGCUCAUUGCUGACUGACCCAAAUCCUGAUGACCCCCUUGUACCGGAGAUCGCCCACAUGUAUAAAACUGAUCGAGCCAAGUAUGAGUCGACUGCACGUAGCUGGACUCAGAAGUAUGCAAUGGGGUGAUGAUGUCUUCUCCGGGUUUAGAAUUUGUACUUUUUGGGGACAGGGUUAAGAGUUUAAUCUGUGGGAUGAAGGAGAUCUUCGUUCUUCCUAUGUUUUGUUAUAUUACCAAAGAUAUGAAUGUGAUUUAUUUCCGGUAUCGCCAGAACUUGAUGUUCCUUCCAGCUUGGACAGUAAUCUAUCAAUUGUGGUUUGUUUACUCUUGAUCCCCCAUCCACUAAAGAGUUAUUGUUGUUUAACCAUUUCGUUUAGUUCUUACUUCUAAAACAGAACGAAAUGCAGUGCUUUGUUCUUCAACUGUUCAAGUAAACUGUCCAUGCAAUGUAGUCUAGAAAUACAAAUUGCAUGUCUCACGACCGCAAUAAAUAAAGAGAAAAGUGUGAUAGUUAUACAAGACCAUAAUAAAGAGUCACCAUAAUAGAACCCGAUAGCCAUCACACCAAACACUAGCACACGAGUGAAGCGACUAGCCGGUCUGGCUCGACCAGGGUGGUCUCGGUUCAACUGCUGAAAUCGCAAGACUUCUAUUUCAGAAGACGAUAUUCUUCGCAUAAUGUGGUUUUCAGACAACCUGAAGUCUUCCACUCCCCCUUCAACCAAUUGGCCGUAACUAUUUAGACUUCCAGUACUCGUGUCAACUCUAUCCAAAUUGCCAUAAUCUUUCAGAGAUAUCAAGCUCUUGGUAUAACUACAGAUCCUACUAACACUUCCACUCCCAAAUGCUACAACUUUCAUCGAACGACGCUUCAGGUCCAAGAAAAAGAUGUUACGGUUCCCCUGCAGAUGCUUGAAAAAUAUGCCAUGCUCCCAUUCACCACAGAUGAUAUCAUUCGACAAAAAAUUCAAACGCAGUCCAGCUAUUUCAAUACUUAGGGUGUAAUCUCUUGUCCAUAAUCUCUUAUCGUAGUCUUUCUGCACCCACAUCUCAAUAUUCAUAGUCACAUCAGUUGAUGAACAAGUAUCCACUGUGGCCAGAGAUCCUCUUAGAGUAACUAAAUGCAAGUUAGAUAACAAGUGUGAGUGUUCCCAUUUUCGUAACCUGGGAUGCGGAGACGAAUGGAACUCUUCUUUCUUGAAGUCGAAAGAAACUAUAUGGCAUGUUCUUUGAUCCAUAUCUAUUGCCAUCCAGUGCAUAUCUCCAUAAGCAGACACUUCAAAGAGUGUAAGUCAUAAUAAGGAGGAACUGAGGGUAUAUCUCGCCAUGAAGAGGUGCCCAAUUCGAAAACAUGUGUGACCAAAACUUGCUCUCCAAAACUACUCUUAUAAUCGGAACUACCAUUAGAAAUUCUGGAAACACGAACAAUUUUAUAGGUACCAGCUAAACUAUCAAAUCCCAUACCAUAGCAAUCACCCCAAAAUACAACCUUUCUAUCUCGGAUGUCACGGGGUGGAAGCCUCAGAAUUUCUCCACGGAGAGGAUUUAAAGGUCCUAGAGGGAGGGAGGGGGGGGGGGGAUAGGCCUUUUUGAAAUUUUCGUUGCCUUCUGUAUCCGAGGAUAGCAAUGACUUGUGCUAUCCCAGAAUCACAGGAUACGAGUUUGCAGAAAGUAAAUUGCAGCAAAUAAAGAAACAACACAAGGAUGUUUUUUAAUCGCAGAAACCCUGAAUGCAGGGAGAAAAACUGCGUGUCUCUAACUCUUGAGAGACAAAAACUUCCACUAAGUUGAAGUAACUUCUUACAAGAAUAAUAGUUCUAGUGAUACACUACCACAGUGCUAUCCUUCCUAGUCCCGAACUAGUCUAGACCUAUUCCCUCUCUUGUUUCUAAGUUAUUACAACAUGGGACACUUUUCGAAGCCUUGUUCGUGAAUUCAGCUAACCACUAGCAGAUUCAACCUUGAACGCUUCUUGGGUUGGUUGCACUACACAUCCCUCAUGGUAUGCAACAUGAUAUGAGUUGAUGAAAGAAGUUUUGAGUUCAAGCUCUAAGGUUUACAGUCACGAAGAAGACUUAGAGCAGCAUGAACAAUGCAAGACUAAAAACUAGACUCAAACAAAAGAAAACGCAAUAAGGCUAGUUUUCAACAACCAUUGAGCAAAGCCAAAGCUAUAGAUAUAUAUAUAUAUAUAGGCAGACAAGGCAUCAAGGAUGAUGCAAGCUGACCUCAACAUGUUUCAGGAAGGUUUGGACAGAAGUGUUUGGCUCCCAUACUGAAAGUGAUGUGUCCAAACACAGAGAUGACACAAGCAAUCUUAAUAAGACAAAUAACCCUUUCCUAAAACAUGAAUGAUUCAAACAGGGAGCAAAGAGGUUUCAAACCCUCUUACUCAGUCCAUUAGUGGACCUUGACACAGCUGAUAGCAACUGGUAUUUGAACCAUACAGGGACCAGCUUAUACAUCGGAUAACGUAUCAUGAAAUCCCAGCUGGAGCCUUGAGCAUCAAACCAUUUGGUCACGGGUUGGCAUAACAAAAGAUCUCAACCCUUUGACUGGUUUGAGCGCUAAGGCACUUCCCACAAACUCAGUUGUCCAUUUUAUAUUAAACUAAUAUAACAGACUUUGAACCUCAGGACAGCAGAAGACUCAGUACUAGGAUAGCAAGCGAAGCUGCUAACCUCUGUGAAAAACAAUGAUAUGCAGAUGCAUGUUUUACCUGAAACCAUAAGGGAUAUUAGCGCCACUUGUUCUUGAUCAGAUAACAUUAUCUCAAAGUGUUUUGCAGGAUGAAAGGAUUGCCAACUAUCCUUAUACCUUCAGGAUUAACUAAGAAGCAAUGUCCAUAAUACGUAUCUUGUAAAUGUACAUUUCUAAAGCAAAACAAGUUGUAGAAAACGAAGUCUACCUUGUAUUGGUGAUGAUCAUACUGUUCUGAUGUAAACAAGGUAAGUGCAUGUUUUUCUUUUGUCAAGGUUGUCUCGCCAUCAUACUUGAGAGAUUGCAAAGCUGCUAAUUCCUCGUAACCUUGAGGAUCUUUAAAUGUUGGAGGGUUGAAAAAUCUGGUAAAAUACAUAAGUUGAGGCACAUUAUGAGUAGAGGCCACCAGCGACCGGGUGUGCAGCGCAACGAAGGAGUGGCUGUCAACCAUGUCUAACAUUGCCUUGGACACACAUCGGAUGCAGCAGAGUGAUUCAAUUGGCAAUCUCACGAGGAUGUGCACCAAGACAUCCAAAGGUAAGUGUUUGAUAUCCACAUUCAUCACCAUAGGCUUCGCGCUGUUGUUAAUGCAGCAGCAGUCUCAUUGUCAUCUCAAUAUUCCCUAAUGAAUAGAACGUUGCAAUAACAACUCAAAAAUACAGCAAAGGAUUGAAAAAAAAAAUACUGAUUGAAAGUUUCUUCCAAACCAAAAUCUAUGAUCCCCUUCUUUUCGGUUCAAACCCUAAUUUCUUAAUUUGUAACCAAAUAUUUAUCCUUGUACUUCAGAUUCAUAACCAUUCAGUUCUUUUUGAGAAAUCCGCCGGAACUAGGAGACCAUAUUGCAUUACGAUUACCAAAUAAAAUCAGAAUGAAACAAAGUUCGAUACCGCAAUUGAAAUAGGGACAAGUUUUGACUAUUUCAUGAACAAAUCGAAAACUUGGGAUAUUUAUUUUAGUUUCAUACCUUUUCAAAUGAAAUGAUGAGAAUCUCGCCGUUGUCCGCGGCACUCCGAUAUCGUGGUGUUACUAUUCUUCUUUUCCUUGGUUCUCUUGUUGGAUUAUUGGAGUGGAGUGUGGGUACUGGAAACCGAUCGAUAAAAAAUAACUGAAACCCUAAUAUAAAUGUAACAAGUGUGUGUGGAGUGUGGAUGCUGAUGAUGAUGUAGGGUGUGAAAAACAAAAUGACGCGGCAGAGAGGAUUUUAUUUAUUUAUUUAUUAUUAUUAUUAUUUUUUAUUUUAUUUUUUUAACUGAGAAACAUACAACUGAGCAUAAUGAAGAUCUGAAAUAGAAUUUCAAAAACAUCUGAAAUUGUUCCCUAAAAAAGAUGUCCUGCUCCCCAUUUGCUUUCUACCAACGUUUAACCUGCUUGACAUUUGUAAACUGACUAAACUCACAGUCUACCAUGAUAUCAUUGGUGUAGCUUACCCCCAUUUCCUUUCCCUCGAUCGGUACCAUACACUUAUCAAACUAGUCAUACAGAAGACAAGCAAAGAUAUCAUUCCCUCCAAACAUUGAUACACAGGUAACACAGCAAAUUAAACAUUGAUACACAGGUAGCACAACAAGCCAGAAACUUGGCAACUUUGGCCAAUAAAAACAGACAAAAAGAAAAAA
rnacentral:lncRNA from 1 species